rnacentral:tRNA from 1 species
UCCGCUGUGGUGUAAUUGGCAACACUGGUCACUUUGGAUGACUUAUUCCAGGUUCGAGUCCUGGCAGCGGAG